UCUGCAUGGAGCCGACCUUGAAAUACCACCCUUUAAUGUUUGAUGUUCUAACGUUGACCCGUAAUCCGGGUUGCGGACAGUGUCUGGUGGGUAGUUUGACUGGGGCGGUCUCCUCCUAAAGAGUAACGGAGGAGCACGAAGGUUGGCUAAUCCUGGUCGGACAUCAGGAGGUUAGUGCAAUGGCAUAAGCCAGCUUGACUGCGAGCGUGACGGCGCGAGCAGGUGCGAAAGCAGGUCAUAGUGAUCCGGUGGUUCUGAAUGGAAGGGCCAUCGCUCAACGGAUAAAAGGUACUCCGGGGAUAACAGGCUGAUACCGCCCAAGAGUUCAUAUCGACGGCGGUGUUUGGCACCUCGAUGUCGGCUCAUCACAUCCUGGGGCUGAAGUAGGUCCCAAGGGUAUGGCUGUUCGCCAUUUAAAGUGGUACGCGAGCUGGGUUUAGAACGUCGUGAGACAGUUCGGUCCCUAUCUGCCGUGGGCGCUGGAGAACUGAGGGGGGCUGCUCCUAGUACGAGAGGACCGGAGUGGACGCAUCACUGGUGUUCGGGUUGUCAUGCCAAUGGCACUGCCCGGUAGCUAAAUGCGGAAGAGAUAAGUGCUGAAAGCAUCUAAGCACGAAACUUGCCCCGAGAUGAGUUCUCCCUGACUCCUUGAGAGUCCUGAAGGAACGUUGAAGACGACGACGUUGAUAGGCCGGGUGUGUAAGCGCAGCGAUGCGUUGAGCUAACCGGUACUAAUGAACCGUGAGGCUUAACCUUACAACGCCGAAGCUGUU
rnacentral:rRNA from 1 species